GGGCUUGACAUAUACAGGAAUGUUGUAGAGAUACAGCAGCCGCUUGCGGUCUGUAUACAGGUGCUGCAUGGCUGUCGUCAGCUCGUGCUGUGAAGUGUGGGUUAAGUCCCGCACGAGCGCAACCCUAUCAUCUGUUGCCAGCAUUUAAGGUGGGGACUCAGAUGAGACUGCCGGUGACAAACCGGAGGAAGUGGGGACGACGUCAAGUCAUCAUGGCCCUUAUGUCCUGGGCUACACACGUGCUACAAUGGCCGGUACAGAGUGAAGCGAAACCGCGAGGUGAAGCAAAACGCAGAAAGCCGGUCUCAGUACGGAUUGGAGACUGAAACUCGACUUCAUGAAGUUGGAAUCGCUAGUAAUCGCGCAUCAGCAUGGCGCGGUGAAUACGUUCCCGGGCCUU
rnacentral:rRNA from 1 species